AUUGAACGCUGGCGGCAUGCCUUACACAUGCAAGUCGAACGGCAGCAUGGGUGCUUGCACCUGAUGGCGAGUGGCGAACGGGUGAGUAAUACAUCGGAACGUACCCGGAAGUGGGGAAUAACGUAGCGAAAGUUACGCUAAUACCGCAUACGCCCUGAGGGGGAAAGCGGGGGAUCGCAAGACCUCGCGUGAUUGGAGCGGCCGAUGUCGGAUUAGCUAGUUGGUGGGGUAAAGGCCUACCAAGGCGACGAUCCGUAGCGGGUCUGAGAGGAUGAUCCGCCACACUGGGACUGAGACACGGCCCAGACUCCUACGGGAGGCAGCAGUGGGGAGUAUUGGACAAUGGGGGAAACCCUGAUCCAGCCAUGCCGCGUGAGUGAUGAAGGCCUUCGGGUUGUAAAGGACUCUUUAGUCGGGGAAGGAGUAAUAGACGGUACCCGCAGAAUAAGACCCCGGCUAACUUCGUGCCAGCAGCCGCGGUAAU
rnacentral:rRNA from 1 species